AUACCAUGACGUGGGCAAUUCUUGAUCAUCAUUUUGAACCGAUUAAACGCUUCAUGGAAAAGCUCACCAGAUUGCUGUUGGAAAUUCCAGAUGUCUUUCCUAGCAU
rfam:Helianthus annuus linkage group 13, whole genome shotgun sequence.